UAUGGUUAAAUUCGAGAGACAAAAACGUUAACAAGAAAUUGGUGUACAUAGUAGGUGAAUUUUCAGAUACGACAGGGUUUAGGAGAAUGCAUUUUGUGCACCGCUUCGAUCUCGUUGUUCGCUUUGUCGUGUUGCUGAAUUCGGGCUCUCUUCGUAGUGAAGUAAGGUGGAAGAAGAUUAUUUCUUCGAAUAUAAGGUUUAUCAUAUUAAUUGUGGAAGUUCUUGGCUGGACUGAGCUCUUGAACGACGUAAGGUACAGAUGCUCACGUUGGUAACCCGCCAGCUUAGGAGUCCUAUUCAGCUAUCUUGGAGAGCUCCCUUGUUCCGGAGCCUAGAUUUUGGUACAGAAUCUCUUGUGGU